rnacentral:lncRNA from 1 species
CGCUCAGAAUAGAACAAACUAGUCAAGAAACAUUUCAUUUUCUAGAUGUAGAAUUCAGCACACAUCUAGGAGAUUAUGUCACAAACGUAUAUAGGAAACCCUCCUACAGCCCAGUGAUCACCCCAGCAUGGUGAAGAGAUCCAAUAUAAUAUAAGAUAGCAGCCUUUGAAGUGAUGAUAAACAGAGCAUUCACACACAUAACGAGAUAGAAUGAAAGAACUAGAUUACAUCUUCGACGUAGGUGAGAAACAUGGGUAUAAUCAUAAAAUGUUAAAAGGAAUAAUAAACAAAGUUAAACGGACCAUUGACAGAAGAGCUAGUAUAGAUAGAAAUGCCCAGAGAGAACAGGGAGUAUAUUAUUCAAAGAUUACAUACUACCCUAUCACAGAUAAGAUUCUGAAUAGAGAAAGUAGAAGAAUGAAUAAAAAGAUGGUGAAAAAGAGAGGGCCUUCAAUAUUUGGUAUACUCCGUAAUGAUAAAGAUCCCAUAGAAGCUACUAAAAAAGCUGGGGU